rnacentral:SRP_RNA from 1 species
UGGCGGGUAGGGCCGGGGGCCUCGCCCACCCCCAAACCCGAAAGGGCGCAACGCGGGGGCCAGUAACCAGGUUGUGCUGUAUAUAGAACCGAGGGAUCCUCAUCCCAGCUAUGAAGCCCGCCCUGUGGGGCUUGCGGUGGUGGAGGCCUCCUCGGAAGAGGAGGCUAAACCGCCUUCACGAGGGGAAACAGGCCAGGCCCGGAAGGGAGCAACCUAACCCUCGGCGCAAGCGUUCACAGGUCACCGGGGGGAGCGUGGGGGAGAGGGUCCACCCCUCGGUUCUAUAUACAGCACAACCUGGAUCCGCCU